UGGAAGGACUAGGACGGCGCCAAGUUCCGAACCUGGUCAGGUCCGGGAGGAAGCAGCCAUAAGGGACCGCUGACGAGCGUCCUAGUCUUUCCAGGG
rnacentral:SRP_RNA from 1 species